GAUGAACGCUGGCGGCGUGCUUAACACAUGCAAGUCGAACGGGAAAUACUUUAUUGAAACUUCGGUCGAUUUAAUUUAUUUCUAGUGGCGGACGGGUGAGUAACGCGUGGGUAACCUGCCUUAUACUGGGGGAUAACAGCCAGAAAUGACUGCUAAUACCGCAUAAGCGCACAGGACCGCAUGGUUCCGUGUGAAAAACUCCGGUGGUAUAAGAUGGACCCGCGUUGGAUUAGUUAGUUGGCAGGGCAGCGGCCUACCAAGGCGACGAUCCAUAGCCGGCCUGAGAGGGUGAACGGCCACAUUGGGACUGAGACACGGCCCAGACUCCUACGGGAGGCAGCAGUGGGGAAUAUUGCACAAUGGGGGAAACCCUGAUGCAGCGACGCCGCGUGAAGGAAGAAGUAUCUCGGUAUGUAAACUUCUAUCAGCAGGGAAGAUA
rnacentral:rRNA from 1 species